GAAAACCUUCAACACCCCGCGGGUCUCCUCGUAGAUCAGACCCGAGAUCCGCUUGACUCCCCCACUCCUCAAACA